UCCCGCGAAGGCGGCCCCGGACGAGCCCCGUCCCCCUCCCGAAUGCUACGUUUCCUUGAAACUUUCCACGGUUGGCGACUACUCAGCUGUGAAGUGUUUUGGAAAAAGUGAGCAAAAUCCCCUCAGCUAUGCGACCGGGCCGCGUGGAAGGCCCGCGCUCGGAGCGGCGGAGAGGGCAAGUUCCAGAACGCGGCGCUCUCCUUCCUCGAAAGUCGCUUUGUAAACGUACAGUAUGUCAAAUAAAUAUUUUUUUGAACAGCAGUGAUUCCCUCAACACUAGUUUGCUUGAGAGAAAAAUACACUUUCCUGUUUUCAAAGCUGCUUCAUCGCGUUAAAAUGGAAGCAUCCGAGUAGUGGUUCUCUCCGCCGUUCCGGCCGGUGUCGCUUUGCCCGUCUGUCCUUUUGGACUUGUGGGGAAAGGGCCAAGGAUCUGACCAUCUCUGAGGUUUUCUCCGAGCCUACAGAUACAUUCCACGCAACGAUUAAAAAAAAGUUACGAGAGGAUUUCUUGGAACAGAACAGCAUGUUCCACAAAGGGGAUGCUCCUUCAUCUAGGUCCCAGAACGUUUGAACAAAUCUGAAGAUGACUUUGACUAACCAAUAACAUGAAGAAAAAUAAACCUUACUCAUCUGAAAUUUCUCAUAUUUUUAAACCCUGAAAAAGAAAAUUGAGCCUGGACUUUUGCCUAUUUAUGUUCAUCCAAAGGGCAAGAAGAAAAGCCAAGUUUCUACAGAGGAGCAGGGGAAGGACGAGACCCACUGAAUAAAUGCCUUCUCCCUGGAAGAGCUUAUGGAGACAGCAGAUAUGAACUACCUCUUUCUAGUCUUCACCUUUCUGACAGUGACCGAUUUCUUGAGAUAGACAUUGCUUCGUCAAACGAUGAGGGUUUCACAAGCAAGACGGGGGACUUAAAAGCGUUGCUUACUGUCCAACACCCAAAUUUUUCCCGGGACUCUUCUGAGCAUGACCUCAUGCUCAUCAAGCUGACACAUCCCCUAAAGCUCAAUAAUGAGGUGAGGCUGGUCGUUCUGCCCAAUACUACAGAUGACAGAAGAGAGGACAAGUGCACUGUUUCUGGCUGGGGCUGGACAUGGCAGAAUUACAACACAGAACCUGAUGUCCAGGUAAACCAGACUGUCUUUUGGUUCUCUAACAAAAACUGCCAAGAGUCUCCUAUAAGGAAAACUCCUGUUAAAAUCACAGAGAACAUGUUCUGUGCAGGAUCAUCUCUGGAGAGCACACACUCAUGUAAGGUAACUCUUUUCCCUCUGUUCCUCCUAAGUUUUGUCUGAGACACUGUUUUGGGGUCCACAUAUUUUUCCAUAAUCCAACCCAGUUUCUUGCCUCUACAUCCAAGAAGAGAUCAAGGUAAGUGGGGACCAAGAAGGAAUAAGUGUCCUCCUUAUAAUCACAUAUGAAUUUAGAUGUCAGGGUGGACACAUCUCAGAGUGUUCUCAUUUCUUUAGGGCUUCCUCUGAUGUGGCCUUGGGAGAGGGGUGGGAUGGGCCCAAGAUGGCCAUCACACAUUUCUCCCAGUCCUUAUUACCUAAAUCUUUCUGUUCUGGGCCCCUCAGAUAGGGACUUGGUACUAGAUUAUCUUUGUUUUAGCAACAAUGCCUGACCCAUCUCUCCUUUUUAUAAUAGGAAAUGGAUGCUGCCCCAAUCCUGUGCGACAAUCAGCUCCAAGGGAUUCACUCCUGGUCAAAUGGGUGUAUUCUGAGAGGUGACAUUGGCUACUACACCAAGGUUUCCCGCUAUACAGACUGGAUUCUCAGAGUCAUCCAUUCCAACUGAGCUCUCAUCCCUCUCCCAGCAGCCUCAGAACUGGUCUACCAUCUCUGACCUUUCCUUUCCCUCUAGUCUCAGAACAAGAUGGGCAUGAGUCUUUGGCUGUAAGAAGUUUUCUGUUCCUUCUGUUCUCUUGACUUCUCUUAUCCUUUCUCAGCCCCAGCUGGAAUGAUUAUCAAAGGAGUUGAGCUGGAUAGUAUUCUCCUAAAUGGGAUAACUUCUCACCACUCCCUUCCUCUCCUCCAGUUUCCUACUUACCUACCAUAGUUUCCUCAGACUUUUCUGGAGCUGUUCUCCCCCCACCCCCACCCUCCAGAGAAAAUAUGGGCCCCAGGAACAUGACAGUGAGAUUGUGGGCACCUCUAUGGUGAGUCCUUUUUUUUUUUAAAUGUCUUUACUGAUUUCAGAAAGAGGAGGGGAG